rnacentral:hammerhead_ribozyme from 1 species
AUCCAGCUGACGAGUCCCAUAUAGAACGAAGCGCGCGUCCUGUAU